GACGAACGCUGGCGGCGUGCUUAACACAUGCAAGUCGAACGGAAAGGCCCUGCUUUUGUGGGGUGCUCGAGUGGCGAACGGGUGAGUAACACGUGAGUAACCUGCCCUUGACUUUGGGAUAACUUCAGGAAACUGGGGCUAAUACCGGAUAGGAGCUCCUGCUGCAUGGUGGGGGUUGGAAAGUUUCGGCGGUUGGGGAUGGACUCGCGGCUUAUCAGCUUGUUGGUGGGGUAGUGGCUUACCAAGGCUUUGACGGGUAGCCGGCCUGAGAGGGUGACCGGCCACCUUGGGACUGAGAUACGGCGCAGACUCCUACGGGAGGCAGUAGUGGGGAAUAUUGCACAAUGGGCGGAAGCCUGAUGCAGAAACGCCGCGUGCGGGAUGACGGCCUUCGGGUUGUAAACCGCUUUCGCCUGUGACGAAGCGGGAGUGACGGUAAUGGGUAAAGAAGCACCGGCUAACUACGUG
rnacentral:rRNA from 1 species